AAUGAUUGAACUUGUUAAAAUUAAUUUUCAGACUUUCUUGAUUGAAUGAUCAAAUCACUCGAUUGCCAUGAUGAUUUUACACAAUUACAUGCCCUAAUAACAGGUUGGAAAUUAUGUGCUUUGGAUACAAAAAUUUUCAUGAUAAUAAGCAUGUUUUGUCCUCAUGAUUGUAUUUGAAAAUCAAUAGCACAGCCUUGUCCGAAUGCAUGAAAGUGUUAAUUUCAUUUUCGGAUUCUCUUAACUAUUGGU
rnacentral:lncRNA from 1 species